AAAAAAAAAAACAGCCACUGAUACCUAUAAAGGAAAGCACGGCUUCAUCUACCACAUGAAGUCGGCCAUCCACUCUGCAAAAUAAAUCUAGUGAAAACAAAUAAAAAGGCAAAAAAGAAAUCCAUGAUGCCAAAUAAAGUUAAUUCCAAGGCUCCUGAGUGAAAGUAGACGGCUAAUGCUUCAUUUUAUUAAGAAUAGUAGGUCUAAAUUCUCUUAUAAUAAUCUAAUAAGUCCAUCAAAAGCAGAUUCUGAUAUUAUCUAGAACAAAUCCAGGUACAAAGAUCCAAAAGCCUUUACCAACUCUAACUCCCAUACCAUGAAUAAUCUAAUAGGAAAUACUGACCCCUGGCCACCAUGCUAACACUUAAAAAAGCAAAAGAAAGAAAUUAACCCUCCACCAUAUUUCUGGAAAGCAGUAGGCUAGUAACAGUAACCUUGUGUCUCAUAUGUACACUUAUUGUUAGUUAAUAAAUUGUUUUAUUAUUGAAAGAUGAACUCUUGAACCACUUCGCUUCAACAAAUAAAAUUUUUAAAGUUCCCAACCAAACCUCACACGUCAUUAUCUUCUUUCUUAAAUAAUGAAAUAAAUAAAAAGUAAAUAAAUAAUCACUCACAAGGAUUCUUCCUGGUAACGGAAAUGUAUUCUUGUUAGUUAAACCACACAAUUAAUAAUUAAAAUACAUACAGAAAAUAUUAACUUGAAAAUACAUAAACUCGUUACAAACAGCAAAUAGUAUCUACAUGGGCAAAGGACAGUGAAUGCUAUUGGACAAGUCCAAAGAGGUGUUCUUCCUAUGUUCAAAACAUGUAAUGAGUUGAUCUUCACCAAAACCCAGCUAGCUUUUUUAUUAAGAUUAAGUACUGCAAGAAAUUUUCAAUGAAAGAAAUUCUCGAAAACUAAGAAGCGGCCAAAAGUGAAUAGCCUAUCUACUAACAAAGAGCAGGCACAGGAUCUUGAAAAACACCACACGCAUUUGACACCAGCGCCCCCAACCCCACACUCCAAAAUUAAAAAUCACAGUGGAAAGGCAAAACGGGAAAAUCAAGAACAGAUUUUAAGGCAUCUCAGUGUCUAACUAAAGUUAAACAGGAAUAAAGGGUUUUCAUUUCCACUAAUAAUUAAGCUAUAAAAGAGUACAGUUAUAAAAACAAGAACCACCAAAGAAUUGAUGAAAGAAGAAUGAUCUCAAAGGAUCAUAGAAGGCGAAAAUAACCAACUUUUGGGAAAUACGG
rnacentral:misc_RNA from 1 species